GAUGAAUGCUGGCGGCGUGCCUAACACAUGCCAGUCGAGCGGCAGCGCGGGGUGCUUGCACCCUGUCGGCGAGCGGCGAACGGCUGAGUAACGCGUAGGAAUUUGCCCCAAAGUGAGGAAUAACUGCCCGAAAGGGUAGCUAAUGCCGCAUAUGGUCUUCGGAUUAAAGGAUUUAUCCGCUUUGGGAGAAGCCUGCGUUGGAUUAGGUUGUUGGUAGGGUAAUGGCCUACCAAGCCGACGAUCCAUAGCUGGUCUGAGAGGAUGAUCAGCCAGACUGGAACUGAGACACGGUCCAGACUCCUACGGGAGGCAGCAGUGAGGAAUCUUCCACAAUGGGCGAAAGCCUGAUGGAGCAACGCCGCGUGAAGGAUGAAGGCCUUCGGGUUGUAAACUUCUUUUAUGAGUGAAGAAUAUGACGGUAACUCAUGAAUAAGCACCGGCUAACUACGUG
rnacentral:rRNA from 1 species